AUUGAACGCUGGCGGCGUGCUUAACACAUGCAAGUCGUGCGGUAACAGGCGUAGCAAUACGUGCUGACGAGCGGCGAACGGGUGCGUAAUACAUGGGAAUCUGCCCUUUAGUGGGGAAUAACCCGGCGAAAGCCGGGUUAAUGCCGCAUAAGAUCUUCGGAUGAAAGCGGGGGAUCGUAAGACCUCGCGCUGAUGGAUGAGCCCAUGUCGGAUUAGCAGUUGGUGAGGUAACGGCUCACCAAGGCGACGAUCCGUAGCUGGUCUGAGAGGACGGCCAGCCACACUGGGACUGAGACACGGCCCAGACUCCUACGGGAGGCAGCAGUGGGGAAUAUUGGACAAUGGGCGAAAGCCUGAUCCAGCGACGCCGCGUGUGUGAAGAAGGCCUGCGGGUUGUAAAGCACUUUCG
rnacentral:rRNA from 1 species